UACGUAGGGCGCAAGCGUUGUCCGGAAUUAUUGGGCGUAAAGAGCUCGUAGGCGGUUCGGUAAGUCGGAUGUGAAAUCUCCACGCUCAACGUGGAGGGGCCAUUCGAUACUGCCGUGACUCGAGUCCGGUAGGGGAGUGUGGAAUUCCCGGUGUAGCGGUGAAAUGCGCAGAGAUCGGGAGGAACACCCGUAGCGAAGGCGGCACUCUGGGCCGGUACUGACGCUGAGGAGCGAAAGCGUGGGGAGCGAACAGG
rnacentral:rRNA from 1 species